rnacentral:rRNA from 1 species
UCGAACGAAGUCUUCGGACUUAGUGGCGCACGGGUGCGUAACGCGUGGGAAUCUGCCCUUGGGUACGGAAUAACUCAGAGAAAUUUGUGCUAAUACCGUAUAAUGACUUCGGUCCAAAGAUUUAUCGCCCAGGGAUGAGCCCGCGUAAGAUUAGCUAGUUGGUGGGGUAAAAGCCUACCAAGGCGACGAUCUUUAGCUGGUCUGAGAGGAUGAUCAGCCACACUGGGACUGAGACACGGCCCAGACUCCUACGGGAGGCAGCAGUGGGGAAUAUUGGACAAUGGGCGAAAGCCUGAUCCAGCAAUGCCGCGUGAGUGAUGAAGGCCCUAGGGUUGUAAAGCUCUUUUACCCGGGAUGAUAAUGACAGUACCGGGAGAAUAAGCUCCGGCUAACUCCGUGCCAGCAGCCGCGGUAAUACGGAGGGAGCUAGCGUUGUUCGGAAUUACUGGGCGUAAAGCGCGCGUAGGCGGUUUUCCAAGUCAGGGGUGAAAGCCCGGGGCUCAACCCCGGAAUAGCCCUUGAAACUGGAAGACUAGAAUCUUGGAGAGGUCAGUGGAAUUCCGAGUGUAGAGGUGAAAUUCGUAGAUAUUCGGAAGAACACCAGUGGCGAAGGCGACUGACUGGACAAGUAUUGACG